rnacentral:rRNA from 1 species
AUCUUGCACAAUGGGGGAAACCCUGAUGCAGCGAUGCCGCGUGAGUGAAGAAGGCCUUUGGGUUGUAAAACUCUUUCGUCGGGGAAGAAAAUGACUGUACCCGAAUAAGAAGGUCCGGCUAACUUCGUGCCAGCAGCCGCGGUAAUACGAAGGGACCUAGCGUAGUUCGGAAUUACUGGGCUUAAAGAGCUCGUAGGUGGUUAAAAAAGUUGAUGGUGAAAUCCCAAGGCUUAACCUUGGAACUGCCAUCAAAACUUUUUAGCUAGAGUGUGAUAGAGGUAAGUGGAAUUUCUAGUGUAGAGGUGAAAUUCGUAGAUAUUAGAAAGAACACCAAAUGCGAAGGCAACUUACUGGGUCACUACUGACACUGAGGAGCGAAAGCAUGGGUAGCGAAGAGGAUUAGAUACCCUCGUAGUCCAUGCCGUAAACGAUGUGUGCUAGACGUUGGAAAUAUAUUUUCAGUGUCCAACGAAAGCAAUUAGCACACCGCCUGGGGAGUACGACCGCAGGGUUAAAACUCAAAUGAAUUGACGGGACCGCAAGCGUGACAUGUGGUUAUUCGAGAUCCCGAACUACACCUUG